UUGCCAGACUCCUACGGGAGGCAGCAGUAGGGAAUUUUCGGCAAUGGGGGAAACCCUGACCGAGCAACGCCGCGUGAGGGAAGAAGUAUUUCGGUAUGUAAACCUCUGUUAUAAAGGAAGAACGGUAUGAAUAGGAAAUGAUUCAUAAGUGACGGUACUUUAUGAGAAAGCCACGGCUAACUACGUGCCAGCAGCCGCGGUAAUACGUGGGUGGCGAGCGUUAUCCGGAAUCAUUGGGCGUAAAGAGGGAGCAGGCGGCAAUAGAGGUCUGCGGUGAAAGCCUGAAGCUAAACUUCAGUAAGCCGUGGAAACCAAAUAGCUAGAGUGCAGUAGAGGAUCGUGGAAUUCCAUGUGUAGCGGUGAAAUGCGUAGAUAUAUGGAGGAACACCAGUGGCGAAGGCGACGAUCUGGGCUGCAACUGACGCUCAGUCCCGAAAGCGUGGGGAGCAAAUAGGAUUAGAUACCCCGGUAG
rnacentral:rRNA from 1 species